rnacentral:rRNA from 1 species
CCUACGGGAGGCAGCAGUGAGGAAUAUUGGUCAAUGGGCGGAAGCCUGAACCAGCCAAGUCGCGUGAGGGAUUAAGGCCCUACGGGUUGUAAACCUCUUUUGCCGGGGAGCAGAGGUCCGGACGUGUCCGGGCCGGGAGAGUACCCGGAGAAAAAGCAUCGGCUAACUCCGUGCCAGCAGCCGCGGUAAUACGGAGGAUGCGAGCGUUAUCCGGAUUUAUUGGGUUUAAAGGGUGCGUAGGCGGAAUGCCAAGUCAGCGGUAAAAUCGCGGGGCUCAACCUCGCUCCGCCGUUGAAACUGGCGUUCUUGAGUGGGCGAGAAGUAUGCGGAAUGCGUGGUGUAGCGGUGAAAUGCAUAGAUAUCACGCAGAACCCCGAUUGCGAAGGCAGCAUACCGGCGCACAACUGACGCUGAAGCACGAAAGCGUGGGUAUCGAACAGGAUUAGAUACCCCUGUAGUC